GCUGGCGGCGUGCCUAAUACAUGCAAGUCGAGCGGACCGAACGGAAGCUUGCUUCUGUUCGGUUAGCGGCGGACGGGUGAGUAACACGUGGGUAACCUGCCCGUAAGACCGGGAUAACUCCGGGAAACCGGGGCUAAUACCGGAUAACACCGAAGACCGCAUGGUCUUUGGUUGAAAGGUGGCUUUUGCUACCACUUACGGAUGGGCCCGCGGCGCAUUAGCUAGUUGGUGAGGUAACGGCUCACCAAGGCGACGAUGCGUAGCCGGCCUGAGAGGGUGACCGGCCACACUGGGACUGAGACACGGCCCAGACUCCUACGGGAGGCAGCAGUAGGGAAUCUUCCGCAAUGGACGAAAGUCUGACGGAGCGACGCCGCGUGAGCGAAGAAGGUCUUCGGAUCGUAAAGCUCUGUUGUUAGGGAAGAAGAAGUACCGUUCGAAUAGGGCGGUACGGUGACGGUACCUAACGAGAAAGCCCCGGCUAACUAC
rnacentral:rRNA from 1 species